GACGUAGGGCGCGAGCGUUGUCCGGAUUUAUUGGGCGUAAAGGGCGCGUAGGUGGCGGGACAAGCGUGCGGUGAAAGCUCGGGGCUCAACCCCGAGUCGGCCGUGCGAACUGUCUUGCUUGAGCACUGUAGAGGCAGGCGGAAUUCCGGGUGUAGCGGUGGAAUGCGUAGAGAUCCGGAAGAACACCGGUGGCGAAGGCGGCCUGCCGGGGCAGUUGCUGACACUGAGGCGCGACAGCGUGGGGAGCAAACAGG
rnacentral:rRNA from 1 species